rnacentral:lncRNA from 1 species
UGGAAUUCCAAGAAACAUUCUAUCAUCAGGUAUUAUCUACUGCUGUCUGCAGAAUUCAGACAUGGAGGGCUCAAUGGUGUCCCCUGGUCUUUGGAACAUUCUGUAUUUUAAUGAUCAUGAUACACUGCCUCUAGGACUGGGACAGAUAGCCACUGAGUACCUGCUUCAAAUCACCCUGCACGUUUUCUCUUUGGAAAGAUAAGCACUGGAGAACCAUCUCGUUACCUUCAGCAGAAAUGGAAACAAAUCAAGACAUUAAGAAUGCCGCAGUGGACAGCAGUUAUGCAAGGUUCAGCAGAGGAAGUUUUCAAGAUGGUGUGCCUCACUAGCCAGAAAUCAGAAAAGAUCGAAGCUAGCCUUUUCAUCUCAGCUGCUCCUUAAAUCAGUGCAACCCCUCCAAAUUAAUGUGAAUUGAAACUUGCAUUGCUUUUCAACUUAAUUGAAUACUUACUAUAUGUGAACCACUGCACAAAAUAGGGGAAGAAGAUGUGGGAGACAAAGAUGUGGAGCCUGUCUUCAAUAAAUUUACAGUUAGUUUCAGGGUACAUUGUUUUUCUUCUGCUGUUAAUUAG